CUGUGAGGGGUGCUGGAGGUAUCAGAAGUGCGAAUGCUGACAUAAGUAACGAUAAUGCGGGUGAAAAACCCGCACGCCGGAAGACCAAGGGUUCCUGUCCAACGUUAAUCGGGGCAGGGUGAGUCGACCCCUAAGGCGAGGCCGAAAGGCGUAGUCGAUGGGAAACAGGUUAAUAUUCCUGUACUUGGUGUUACUGCGAAGGGGGGACGGAGAAGGCUAUGUUAGCCGGGCGACGGUUGUCCCGGUUUAAGCAUGUAGGCGGAGGUUCCAGGUAAAUCCGGUACCUUUUUAACGCUGAGGUGUGAUGACGAGGCACUACGGUGCUGAAGUAACAAAUGCCCUGCUUCCAGGAAAA
rnacentral:rRNA from 1 species